rnacentral:rRNA from 1 species
GACGAACGCUGGCGGCGUGCUUAACACAUGCAAGUCGAACGGAAAGGCCCUGCUUUUGUGGGGUGCUCGAGUGGCGAACGGGUGAGUAACACGUGAGUAACCUGCCCUUGACUUUGGGAUAACUUCAGGAAACUGGGGCUAAUACCGGAUAGGAGCUCCUGCUGCAUGGUGGGGGUUGGAAAGUUUCGGCGGUCGGGGAUGGACUCGCGGCUUAUCAGCUUGUUGGUGGGGUAGUGGCUUACCAAGGCUUUGACGGGUAGCCGGCCUGAGAGGGUGACCGGCCACAUGGGGACGGAGAUACGGCCCAGACUCCUACGGGAGGCAGCAGUGGGGAAUAUUGCGCAAUGGGCGGAAGCCUGAUGCAGCAACGCCGCGUGCGGGAUGACGGCCUUCGGGUGGUAAACCGCUUUCGCCUGUGACGAAGCGUGAGUGACGGUAAUGGGGAAAGAAGCACCGGCUAACUACGU